rnacentral:tRNA from 1 species
GACCGCGUAGCUCAGUUGGAAGAACAUUGGGCUAGUAUUCCAAAGGUCGUAGGUUCGAAUCCCACCGUGGCCG